AUACGAAGGUGGCUAGCGUUGUUCGGAAUUACUGGGCGUAAAGCGCGCGUAGGCGGAUUGGUCAGUUAGGGGUGAAAUCCCAGGGCUUAACCCUGGAACUGCCUCUAAUACUGCCAGUCUUGAGUUCGGGAGAGGUGAGUGGAAUUCCUAGUGUAGAGGUGAAAUUCGUAGAUAUUAGGAAGAACACCAGUGGCGAAGGCGGCUCACUGGCCCGAUACUGACGCUGAGGCGCGAAAGCGUGGGGAGCAAACAGGAUUAGAUACCCUUGUAGUCC
rnacentral:rRNA from 1 species